GAUGAACGCUGGCGGCGUGCCUAAUACAUGCAAGUCGAGCGAACAGACGAGGAGCUUGCUCCUCUGACGUUAGCGGCGGACGGGUGAGUAACACGUGGAUAACCUACCUAUAAGACUGGGAUAACUUCGGGAAACCGGAGCUAAUACCGGAUAAUAUAUUGAACCGCAUGGUUCAAUAGUGAAAGACGGUUUUGCUGUCACUUAUAGAUGGAUCCGCGCCGCAUUAGCUAGUUGGUAAGGUAGCGGCUUACCAAGGCGACGAUGCGUAGCCGACCUGAGAGGGUGAUAGGACACACUGGAACUGAGACACGGUCCAGACUCCUACGGGAGGCAGCAGUAGGGAAUCUUCCGCAAUGGGCGAAAGCCUGACGGAGCAACGCCGCGUGAGUGAUGAAGGUCUUCGGAUCGUAAAACUCUGUUAUUAGGGAAGAACAAAUGUGUAAGUAACUAUGCACGUCUUGACGGUACCUAAUCAGAAAGCCACGGCUAACUACGUG
rnacentral:rRNA from 1 species